CCCUUAGAUGUUCUGGGCCGCACGCGUGCUACACUGAGUGGAUCAGCGGGUCAGGUUGCGCGAAAGCGUUUCCUAAUCUUUAAAUCCGCUCGUGAUGGGGAUUGACGGUUGCAAUUUUCUGUCAUGAACGAGGAAUACCUUGUAAGCGCGGGUCAUCAUCCCGCGCUGAAUACGUCCCUGCCCUUUGUACACACCGCCCGUCGCUACUACCGACUGAAUGGUUUAGUGAGAUCUCUGGAUUGACGCUGGCUAGGGGGCGACCCUUGGCCAGACUGUUGAGAAACUGCUCAAACUUGAUCAUUUAGAGGAAGUAAAAGUCGUAACA
rnacentral:rRNA from 1 species